AUGAACGCUGGCGGCGUGCCUAACACAUGCAAGUCGAACGGAGUCCAGCCUUUAAGACCUUCGGGUCAAAGAGGGGAAGACUGAGUGGCGGACGGGUGAGUAACACGUGGGCAACCUGGCUCAUAGAGGGGGAUAACAGAGAGAAAUUUCUGCUAAUACCGCAUAAGCACACACUGCCGCAUGGCAGAGGGUGAAAAGAGAAUCGCUAUGAGAUGGACCCGCGUCUGAUUAGCCAGUUGGCAGGGUAAGAGCCUACCAAAGCGACGAUCAGUAGCCGAUCUGAGAGGAUGAACGGCCACAUUGGGACUGAGACACGGCCCAAACUCCUACGGGAGGCAGCAGUGGGGGAUAUUGCACAAUGGGGGGAACCCUGAUGCAGCGACGCCGCGUGAGUGAAGAAGUAUUUCGGUAUGUAAAGCUCUAUCAGCAGGGAUGAUAAUGACAGUACCUGAAGAAGAAGCCCCGGCUAACUACGUG
rnacentral:rRNA from 1 species